rnacentral:rRNA from 1 species
GUCGUAACAAGGUUUCCGUAGGUGAACCUGCGGAAGGAUCAUUCACACGAAUAUCCAAAUUGUCACGGCGCUUGAUGGAGAUAGGAAGGAUUCCCUCAAGGGAGGCCUUCUGAGCACGGCGCUCUACGCAUCCUUGCGGGUGUGUGGGGGGUUAUGCUCAUGCAGAACUCGCUUUUAUCAGGUUUGCAAACUUCUGUCAUUCCUCGUGAAUGGCUUUAACUUCACAACUUUCAGCGACGGAUGCCUCGGCUCGAACAACGAUGAAGGGCGCAGCGAAGUGUGAUAAACAUUGUAAAUUGCAGAAUUCCGCGAACCAACAGGACUUUGAACGCAUACUGCGCUUUCGGGAUAUGCCUGAAAGCAUGCCUGGUUCAGAGCCUCCAACUCCUUAUGCUCUUGGGCACUUUGUGUCGGAAGGGCGUCUUUGUACACCAGCACGCUUUGAUCGCUGCUGGCGUAUCGGAUGCAUCAGAGCUGGUGCCUCGUCAGUAAGCACGUUAAGCGCCUUGAGUGCAUUACUUUGCCUAUUGAUCUGUGGUACUGCUCUGGGACUUUGACCACUGCGAUGGUUUCAAACUUCGCACUCGGCAUGAACUCAGGUCAGGGAACCCGCUGAAUUUAAGCAUAUAAGUAAGCGGCGGAAAAGAAACUAAAUAGGAUUCCCUCAGUAAUGGCGAAUGAACAGGGAAGAGCUCAGCAUGGUAAUCGGGGCCCUAGGCCUUGAAUUGUAGUCUUUCGAGGUUUUUCCAACGGAGCCGCAGAUGUAAGCCUCUUGGAAAAGAGCAUCAUCGAGGGUGAGAGUCCUGUCUGCCAUCUGCAGUUCUCCGUGUACGGAUUGCCUUCUGCGAGUCACGUUCCUCGGGAUUGGAGCGCAAAGUGGGUGGUAAAUUUCAUCUAAAGCUAAAUAUCGGUUCGAGACCGAUAGGAAACAAGUACCAUGAGGGAAAGGUGAAAAGGACUUUGAAAAGAGAGUUAAAAGUGCCUGAAAUCGCUGAAAGGGAACCGUAUGGAACCAGUGCUACUUGGUGUGAUUGUUGCGUGCUAGGCCGACGGCUUGUUGCGUCAGCGCAAGCGUCGUUUCGGGUUCUGAGGCUCAUGUGCGCGGUGGUUCUCACCUUGUGUGUCAGCGUCAGUUCGGGAUUGAGGAAAACCGCUUUGGGACGGUACUUUACCCGCGGGUGAAGGAAUGCCCUUGGUCGGAACUCUUUAUCGGACUGUCCUCAGCGUGGGAAGCUCCUGCGGCGUGACCUUGUUUGCCAAGUGUUGGGGCCUUCGUGCCUCGGUGUUUGGUGGGCAAGUUUCGCGUUGUUGCCUUUCUUCCAAGACGUUGACGAAAUGGUUUCAUGCGACCCGUCUUGAAACACGGACCAAGGAGUCUAACGUAUGUGCGAGUCCAUGGGUGUAAACCUAGAGGCGUAAUGAAAGUAACUGCUGGGAUAUUUGCACCAGCAACCGACUGAUCAAUUGAGAGAGGUUUGAGUAUGAGCACAUCUGUUAGGACCCGAAAGAUGGUGAACUAUGCGUGAA